rnacentral:rRNA from 1 species
UACGUAGGGUGCAAGCGUUGUCCGGAAUUAUUGGGCGUAAAGAGCUCGUAGGCGGUUUGUCGCGUCUGCUGUGAAAACGCGAGGCUCAACCUCGCGCCUGCAGUGGGUACGGGCAGACUAGAGUGCGGUAGGGGAGAUUGGAAUUCCUGGUGUAGCGGUGGAAUGCGCAGAUAUCAGGAGGAACACCGAUGGCGAAGGCAGAUCUCUGGGUCGUAACUGACGCUGAGGAGCGAAAGCAUGGGGAGCGAACAGG